rnacentral:rRNA from 1 species
CGCUGGCGGCAUGCCUAACACAUGCAAGUCGAACGGCAGCACAGUGGAGCUUGCUCCAUGGGUGGCGAGUGGCGGACGGGUGAGGAAUACAUCGGGACCUGCCCAGACGUGGGGGAUAACGUAGGGAAACUUACGCUAAUACCGCAUACGUCCUACGGGAGAAAGCGGGGGAUCUUCGGACCUCGCGCGGUUGGAUGGACCGAUGUUCGAUUAGCUAGUUGGUGGGGUAAAGGCCUACCAAGGCGACGAUCGAUAGCUGGUCUGAGAGGAUGAUCAGCCACACUGGGACUGAGACACGGCCCAGACUCCUACGGGAGGCAGCAGUGGGGAAUAUUGGACAAUGGGCGCAAGCCUGAUCCAGCAAUGCCGCGUGUGUGAAGAAGGCCUUCGGGUUGUAAAGCACUUUUAUCAGGAGCGAAAUGCCAUUGGUUAAUACCCGGUGGAGCUGACGGUACCUGAGGAAUAAGCACCGGCUAACUUCGUGCCAGCAGCCGCGGUAAUACGAAGGGUGCAAGCGUUAAUCGGAAUUACUGGGCGUAAAGCGUGCGUAGGCGGUUUCUUAAGUCUGCUGUGAAAUCCCCGGGCUCAACCUGGGAAUGGCAGUGGAUACUGGGAAGCUAGAGUGUGAUAGAGGAUGGUGGAAUUCCCGGUGUAGCGGUG